CCGUGUGCAUCCCCCCGCAGCCUGACCCCCAGCCCGGGCUGACCCCCGGGGGGGUGACAAGGAGGAGGAGGAGGAGGGAAGGGGGGGGCGCAGGCACUUGUGCCGGCGCAGCCUCUCGCAUCAAGGUGUGCUGCAAUCCGGGCGGGCACGGUGGCUGCUCCUUAACCCCCGGCUGGCCGCGGCGCUGCCCGAGCGCGCUCCCCGCCCGCCCCGCGCAGCCCCCGCGGCACCGCGCUGCCUCGCUGCCUCCCCGCGGCACCGCGCUGCGAUGCGGUGCAGCAGCGGGGAUGGAGGGAUGGAGUUGUGGCGGUGCUGGGCGGCGGGGGCGAGUGAGGACUAAUCCCAUCCCUGGGCCUGCUCUCUGUUCCCUUCCUGCAUUAGAGAUUGGCUAUAAGGAGAAGGCUGACGGCUGCAGCAUGAAGCGCAUUAUUACCUUGUGAUUCCAUGACCCUCCUCUAUGCAUCCCUAACUCUCGAAAGCUGAUUCAGCUUUCAGCUAGUGCUCUGGUGAGUCCUCUGCUGCAACAGAAGCUCCUAACUGAUGGUUGUGACUGUGGCUCCCAAGGUCUGAGCCCAGUCUCUCUGCCAUGGGCUGUGCUGGGACGAGCGCCUGCCUCCACCUCGGCCCUGCUGGUGUCUCCCUCUCCAGUGCCCAGCCCUACACAGGGGCUGACUUCAAAGUCCCCAAAGGCAUGUGCUAUCUUUUGAGGGUUGCUUAUCUGUGGGGUAGCGUCUCGCUCCCAGUGACCAGCAGAGGAAAAAUCAUUGGAUUCACUAGAAGCCCUGUGCCUCGGCGUUUCAUCUGCUGCAAGGAAGAAUAAAGGUUUUGAUCUGAAGUUCCCUCCUUGUGUUUUGUACCACGUGCCGAGCUGCUCCUUCAACAGCUCUGGUGAAGAAAUGGGCUGUUACAGGGCUACCAGAGCUGGGAAGGAGUUGGGAAUACCAACUGCUUCCUCACUACCCCAAACUGCAAGUAUCCACGGUCUGCACUAGCCAACAAUAUUUUUUUGUUAAUGAGAUAAAAGCUGUGCUCCUAAAAAAGAGUUUCCUGUUUGACUUUGUUGACCUAAAAGACUUGUAAGGUCUCUCCCCCGGUCUGGUCCUUAUAAGCACUAAUGUUAUGCUAAUGGAGUUAAAGAAAAUCACUCACUUUCCCAUGUAAUAAUGAUUGGUGGGAAAGUAAGCUGGGCGUCAUCCUUUCCUAGCCAUUGUAAAUCUAUAGGACUCUCACAAGCUAUGAAUAUUGCCGCUUUAAUGAGCCAUUUGGAUGCAAAAGUCUGAUGGGAGAUUAUUCAUGUCUUUACUUCUUAACAACACCUGGCCCAAGUUAACCCCUGGCAUGAGAGUGUGCAGAGAUUUGUCUCUUUUCACACGCUAGAAAUUAGGUUUACUUCAUUUCACAUCCUGGUCCUUUAGGUACCGUUUAAGUGUUCUUACUAGGGCCAAGAGUAUUCGUGUGCUUCAAGAUAAGGAGUUGUUUGAUGGAUCUGAGCCUUAACAUGCAUCUAAUAUUUAUGUCACUGGGUAUUUAAAAGGCAAAGACAUGAGGAGCAAUGUUACUGCAGGAGCGCCUUUCCUCAGCUAAAAGGAAAAUAGUGCUUACUCAAUCCUGCUGGCUCAUUUUUCUGUACUUUAACAGUGCCUAAGCAUCCAUGUCGAUAUCCUACUGAAGUCUACAUGUGUUUUUUCUCCCCAUAUACUUCAAUCAGAUCAGACACAUUUUCCUUCUUGCCACCAGCUGAUUUCUUGGGAAUAUGUAGAAGAAAUUAGACAUUCUAUUAUUUUUAAUUUAUUUAUCUUCACAACUGCAGCAUCGUUCCAAACAGCCAACAAUGCACCCAAAAGGGCUUUGACCUGGCCUGAUAGAAGAGACUCGAGCAAAUGCAAAAUGCACUUGCUGACAUUUGUGCCUGCAAACAGAGGAAAAGGAGCAGCUCCAACAAAUCCCUGCAUAAGCAUGGAGCCAGUGUGAUGCCGUGGGUAGUGAGGGUGCUCGUUGCUUUCCAGUUGAAGCCUCACAGCACAGCUCUGCCCUUGGCAAAAGAGCCAAAUGGCCACUAGUUCUGUAGCUCUGAGUCACCUCUUGACACCUUAUCUGUCCUGGAUGAUUAAUUGCUUUGUAGUUAUCCGUGCUGGUUUCUGAGCACUACUCAAUCCCAGUUCCUAAUUCCCAUCUCAGAAGCAUCAAGCAAAGGCAUCUGCUGAGGCAGGAAUGACUGUCCAAGCAAACUACCUCAGUGCUGUCGCUGCCAGUCCUGAGAUUCCUGAACAUCCUUGGGAUGAAAGCACAAGGGAAGGGGAAUCCUCAGCACAAGUUCCUAAUUGCUGGCAGCCUGGGCUGUGAAUGAUGUUGAGACUCUAGAGGAAAAGGUUGAGUAGAAACAGAUGCUUCCAGCAGGUUGUGGCCUGGGUUUCCAAAAUACCAUGCUUGUCCCGCCUGCUCCCACAAUCUGGGUUAUUUUCCCUUGUUCCCCAGGGCUGAAUCCAAUGUAAACAACACCAUUAUUAAUAUUCUUCCUUGGUAAUGAUAAUUAAGUUGCUAAAAAAUGUCAAAUAGGGAAGCUGGAGGCAUUGCAACUUGAACAAAACCAGGGAAUGUAAAUGAAAACAUUUGUUCCUUAAAGAAGUGUGGUACCCUCAAAGCCACCUUGAAUAGCAGAGAAGCUUCCAGUUCUCUGGAAGCAAGAGAAGGUAUGAAUACACAGGGAUCCCAAAAGUUGGGCCGUGCAUUUAAAUGCAUAAAUGUGGAUCCCACCUUCAGGCACCCAUGCUUGAAGAUUUCUGGCUGUGUUUUUAUUGCCUAAUUAUAUCUUUAUGGAAUGAGAAAUUCAGCUCACUUAGCACGGAAUUUCUAUAACAAUACAGCCAUUAAGGUCUAGUCAAGGAAAUAUGAGGCCCAAGCAGAAGGCAGCAGGUAGACUUCAGAAGAGCUCUCUAGGGACUGAUAAUGUGUAGGGACAAAUGUAAGGCAUGGGCCAAAAAAUUGUACGUCUCCUUCCCAACAAUUUGUGUUUCAGCUCUGCUCACUCACAAACCCUUCCUGGGGCAACAGCAGGGUUUGGAGCAAACUGAGCUCGCUGAUAUCUGCCCUUUGCAGCUGGGAGCUGCCCAGAUCCUGAACCCAUCCAUGGUCUGAAAAUGGGAUCUGCUUUAGUCGAUUUCCCAUAAAGCACAGUUCUGAGGGGAAGUCUUACCACUGGCUUUGAAAACCCCAGGAAAAACUCCUGGCUAAGUCAUUAGAAACCUUUAGCCAACCAUCCUUAACUACAUCAAAUCUAAUUGUUUCCCAUAUCUUCUAAGAGGCUGCUUCUGAUGGCUCACCAGACACUGCUGGUUUCCUGGAAACCCUAUUAGCUUCUCAAACAAGGCAAUCCUGAGGACUCACUCCUGCAAACCUUUUGUGCAAAUAUUAAAUAACAGCGAAUAAUUAGCAAGAAUAAUCCUUUUUGCUUGACCCUCUUCUGUAAUAAAGACCUUUGUCGGCGAAUGCAAACGUUAUUUUGAGGAGCAAUUCAUAAUCUAGAGCUGUUGAACACAUCAGCCUAAAUACACUAAUACUCUAAUAUCCAUAUUUGUGCAGGACUUAAGACAGACAAAAACAGGCACGUUCUCUGUCCCAAAGACCUAAAAGCAUUCACCAGUCAAGCAUAGGAAGAGGAUGUGGCAAAAGAGGUGGCAAAGAAGGGACUCACUUCUGCAUUUGCUAUAUCUUCAAGUGUCUUAGGUGGUGUGAUCAAAUCAGCUGGAUUCUGUCCAUGGAGAUUUUUUCUGAGCAUCCUUUUCCUUCACCUGUUUUUCUUUUAUUUUUUUUUUUUCUGAGAGGGGAGAAAAGAAAGGACAAGGAAGCCAACAGGCAGAUAAUUGUUCUGUGCUGACAGUUUGUCAAGUGAUGGAAGAACAAUUUUAGUUAAGAGAUCUGCGUUACAGGGGCGAGCGAGCAGAAGUCUCUUCUUUUCCUCCCAGAUGGCAUUGACAUGUAGCCUGAAGGGGCUAUCAGGAUACAAAGCUAAAGAUGGUUAAAGACAUUAAAAACUGUACAAUGUGAGCACCAUCUACGCCAGGACCAUCAUCUAGGAGGAAGAUUCAUCCUGACGUAUCAGGCAGAAGUCAGAUCUUGGUGUUAUAUAAAGCUGUUGAGCCGAAAGUAUUUUUGAGAUAGAUAAAAAAUAUCUAUUCCUGCUACUAACCAUGCCUUUUCCAGUAGGUUUUUACUGACUCUUGAAAAGCUAUGACCAAUAAAUGUGAUGAUCUGCCUUC